rnacentral:lncRNA from 1 species
AUGAAUCUACAGAUAUGAUAAUUAAAAGUCUAAAAAUAUUGUUUCCAUACGGGUCCAUAUGGGAUUUAUUUCUAAAUGUGUUAUGUAUAGAAAAACUAUUUUUUUCUUCACACAGAUAGCCAUUUUAGCAGUAUUUAUUGGAAUCUGGCUUUCCUUCACAGUAUAUGUAUCUCUGUCAUGACUUUGGUCAGCUCUGAACUCUAUCCCAGGGGCUUGUCAUCACCACAUUGCUUCACUGACUGUGGCUUUCUAUUGCCUCUAUUGAUGUACUGAUUGGAGUCUUCCCUGGUUGCUAUUUUGUUCUUCAGAUUUUUUUUUUUUAUCUUUCCAUUUAGGAUCAGGUUGUUACAUUUGGUGGAAAAUCCUGUUAGUUCAUUUUAGACUUUAGAAAGGUUUGAUAAGGUGCCUGGAGUUCAACUCAGAAAGUUUUAUUUCCUCCAGAUGUUGAGCAAUAUGUUAUGCAGUAAGAAUUCUGGGAUGAGAUUGGAAGAUCUGGGCUAAAAUACUAAUGUGAUCUGUCUUAGACAAGCCAAUUCAUGGCUGUGGGCUUUCGCUUUCACCAUCUGUAGAGUAGGUGAGGCCACGACUUUUACAGUAACACAUCCAGAGAAGUAUAGGGACGCCCUCUGAGAGAUGCUUCCUCAUCCGGCCCUGUCUGGGGGUUCUCUAUAAUUGGAAAUUAGACUCUGAAUCUCUGAGAAAAAAAGUCAUAAGUCUGUUUAACAAGGAAUGCAAGGGACCCAGGUGCUUGGUGUGAUGGCUAACUGAAUGUGUCAACUUGGCACUGAAAAGCAGACACAUGCCCAGAUAGUUGGUCAAAUGUUUCCCUAGAGAGCUCUUUGAUGGAAUUGUGUUUUAAAAGAAAAGAUGAGCUGUUUUUUAUUUUAUUUUUAAAGACUUGCUUUUAUUGACUUUACAUUAUAUCUAUGCAUGCGUGUGAGUGUCCAUGUAUGACCACGUGUGUCCAUGUGUGCACAACUGAAAGUGCCUGCAGAGUCCCUAAGAAAGUGACAGAUUCCCUGGAGGUAGAAUUACAAGUAGACCUAAAACACCCAACCUGGAUGCCGGCAACUGGACUCAGAUCCUCUUGCAAGAGCAAUGCAGGCUCUGAACUGUUAAGCCAUCUCUCCAGUUUAAAUCCAUCAAUUUCAAGAAAAGUAGUUUAGUCUCUAUAAUGGGGGUGAUUUCAGCCACUCAGUGAAGACUUGACUGAAGAGAAAGAGCAGUGUCUCCUGGGCGAGAGGGACUCUGUCAGCCACAACUUUGGAGCUGAGCUGCAGAUUGGCCCUGGUCUCCAGGUCACAGUGCAGAUUUCAGAGUCACCAUUCCCCAGAACCACACAGGCCAAUUCCAAUUCAUUAAAAUAAAUCUCUUGAUAGAUGAUAAGCUGAAAUAUAAGUAGGUAAAUAGAGACAUAGAGAUCCUGGCAAUUCUACUUCUUUAGAGAACCUUGUCUACUACAGGAGACAACGUCUGCAUGCUCACUGUCCUAUAUUCCUAACAACACUUCUGUCAUGUAUGACUUACUGAGAUGUACCUGUAUGUAGAAAAGUGAUGUCUAUAGUUUAGUUCACAAAAUGUCCACCUUGAAAUGUUUUUCUACUUAGAAAAACAUACAAUAAAGAAAAACUGUUUUUUUUUUUUUUAUUGAGUGGAAGAGUUAAGGAGAGCGGAAGUGUUCACAAUGACUUCAGUUAAGUGUUCAUUUUAAAUAAGGAGUUCACCUGCUGAUUUGUUUGUAAAUUUCUAUAUAUUUGACAGCACAGGUGUUGGCAGGAGACUGAAAUGUUAGUGCUAAAUACCCAUUAAAGCUGAAUC